rnacentral:rRNA from 1 species
AGUGAACGCUGGCGGUAGGCCUAACACAUGCCAGUCGAACGGCAGCACAGUAAGAGCCUGCUCUUACGGGUGGCGAGUGGCGGACGGGUGAGGAAUACAUCGGAAUCUACUUUUUCGUGGGGGGUAACGUAGGGAAACUUACGCUAAUACCGCAUACGACCUACGGGUGAAAGCAGGGGAUCUUCGGACCUUGCGCGAUUGAAUGAGCCGAUGUCGGAUUAGCUAGUUGGCGGGGUAAAGGCCCACCAAGGCGACGAUCCGUAGCUGGUCUGAGAGGAUGAUCAGCCACACUGGAACUGAGACACGGUCCAGACUCCUACGGGAGGCAGCAGUGGGGAAUAUUGGACAAUGGGCGCAAGCCUGAUCCAGCCAUACCGCGUGGGUGAAGAAGGCCUUCGGGUUGUAAAGCCCUUUUGUUGGGAAAGAAAAGCAGCAGGUUAAUACCCCGCUGUUCUGACGGUACCCAAAGAAUAAGCACCGGCUAACUUCGUG